AGUCGACCCAAGUGAAGGAAGGCUGAAUUAUAAGUUUCUGUGGUUCUGAGAGGGUCGACCUAAGGAAAGGUUGAGUCGACCCAAGUGAAAGUUGGAUCGACCCAAGGAAAGGUUGAGUCGACCCAAGCACGGGCAGAAGCAUAACGGCUAGUUCUGCAGAAGUACUUUUUGUCCUUCCAACAGUGAGUAACGGCUAGUUUUUGAAUUCUAACCAUUGGGGCUUGUCCAAUGGAUGAAGGAAACUAUUUAAAGUGGCACUAUUCAUCAGAGAAAACAUCCUUUUGCAAAAUAUCAAAGAGUACACAAGAAAGACAAAGUGUCCUAAUCUUCUUCAUUCAAGUGCUUCAUUCAAGAGUCAAAAGAAAGUGGUUGAGCAGAUUCCAAGAGUCAUUAAGAGCUCCAUCCAUCCUUGAAGAGUGAAGCAUCCUUGACAAAGAAGAGAGAAGUCACAUCAAGCGAUAACUAUUCUCCAAACUCUUCUUUGUAGAUUAUAUUGUUAUAUUUGCUCAUCUAGGAGCUUAAAUCUU
rnacentral:lncRNA from 1 species